rnacentral:lncRNA from 12 species
AUGUCUAAAAUAUCAAGUGGUGGAGAUAGAAAGCAAAGGAGGAUAAGUUUCUUCAAACCUUUAACCCAACAAUGUUGUGCAGAAACCAGAGAAAACCACAGGCUAUCAGACUUCACAGAGCUGAUGGGAGUUCAGCAUUGUGACCCUGUUGAAUGGUCAUCUGUGAAACGCACAAAAAUCAGGGGAUGGAGAGAAUGACAAACCAAGAGAAUGAAGAGCAACCCUAAAAUCCAGAGGUCUCCUAUUCAAGGUUUAAUCUUGUGGAAACACUAGCUCCUAUUUAAGAAAGUUGCUUCAGGGACGCCUGGGUGGCUCAGCGGUUGAGUGCCUGCCUUCAGCCUGGAGUGUGAUCCUGGGGUCCUAGGAUCAAGUCCCACAUAGGGGUCCCUGCAUGGAGUCUGCUUUUCCCUCUGCCUAUGUCUCUGCCUCUCUCUGUGUGUCUCUCAUGAAUAAAUAAAUAAAAUCUUAAAAAAAAAAAAAACA